rnacentral:rRNA from 1 species
GACGAACGCUGGCGGCGUGCCUAAUACAUGCAAGUUGAGCGCUGAAGGUUGGUACUUGUACCAACUGGAUGAGCAGCGAACGGGUGAGUAACGCGUGGGGAAUCUGCCUUUGAGCGGGGGACAACAUUUGGAAACGAAUGCUAAUACCGCAUAAAAACUUUAAACACAAGUUUUAAGUUUGAAAGAUGCAAUUGCAUCACUCAAAGAUGAUCCCGCGUUGUAUUAGCUAGUUGGUGAGGUAAAGGCUCACCAAGGCGAUGAUACAUAGCCGACCUGAGAGGGUGAUCGGCCACAUUGGGACUGAGACACGGCCCAAGCUCCUACGGGAGGCAGCAGUAGGGAAUCGUCGGCAAUGGACGGAAGUCUGACCGAGCAACGCCGAGUGAGUGAAGAAGGGUUUCGGAUCGUAAAACUCUGUUGGUAGAGAAGAACGUUGGUGAGAGUGGAAAGCUCAUCAAGUGACGGUAACUACCCAGAAAGGGACGGCUAACUACGUG